CAGGAGAUCACUUCACGUCACUGCCUCUGGCACCGCGAUGCAUGUGCCACAGAGCCGUGACCACCACAGGGUUCCUGCUCUCCACAGGUGCAAAUAGUGCAUGUGCAGAGUAUUACCUCAAAAGCCUUUGACACAGACACCUGCAGUCUGCUCGUCCCUGCAUCGCCAACCGAGACUGGAGGAUAAACACCGGCACAGCAGAGCUAACUCCCCCCCACAUGCAUGCCGCAGUCCCGGGCAGCUCCCGUUCCAUCACAUCCCCCCAGUUAAUAUGCCGAGCACAUAGUGAGAUACGCACGGUUCUGAACAGGCCGCUCCAUCAGGCCUGAUUCCACCAGGGAGACCGACACGACUUUACUUUGACAGCUCACGACUUAAGCAGGGGAACUCCAAACACAUGAAAUAAAGGUCGUAUCUGUUUACCUCCCUCGCUGUGGAUCUUCUUGGCUCUCCGGUUGAAAUACAUCUUGCUGCUGGUGGACGAGUGUCGGUGAGACUGGGACGAGGAGGCCGGAGCGGAGUCAUGCUCAUGGCUCCCCCACAGAGCAGGAGACCGCCACCGCUGCUGCUGCUGCCGCUGCCGCCGCUGCUGCUGCUGCUCCGGACCCGGGCUGAGGCCGCUCCUCCUCCGCCUCCUGCUGCUGCUGCUGCCACUGCUCACGGGUCAUUAUUUCUCGGCUGGAGGUGAUGUGCUGGAGGACGGAGUCAGUCACCGCUGAGACGAGAGGAGGGAGAUGGGGGCGACUUCCGGCUUUCAAAACAAAGUGCGUCAAAGUAGAGACGAGGUGGAUCUGCUCACUCUCCAGUGUAUCUAAUAAAUCCAAAUUCAAUUUGUA